rnacentral:sRNA from 1 species
UUUUUGCGUAAGGGAUAGCAGUGAAAAUCCUUUUGUGAAGCGAAGCAGAAUAAAAGAUUGCAACGGAUAGCCCGACCUUGU